UAGGGAAUCUUCGGCAAUGGACGAAAGUCUGACCGAGCAACGCCGCGCGAGUGAAGAAGGUUUUCGGAUCGUAAAACUCUGUUGUUAGAGAAGAACAAGGACGUUAGUAACUGAACGUCCCCUGACGGUAUCUAACCAGAAAGCCACGGCUAACUACGUGCCAGCAGCCGCGGUAAUACGUAGGUGGCAAGCGUUGUCCGGUUUUAUUGGGCGUAAAGCGAGCGCAGGCGGUUUCUUAAGUCUGAUGUGAAAGCCCCCGGCUCAACCGGGGAGGGUCAUUGGAAACUGGGAGACUUGGGUGCAGGAGAGGAGAGUGGAAUUCCAUGUGUCGCGGUGAAAUGCGUAGAUAUAUGGAGGAACACCAGUGGCGAAGGCGGCUCUCUGGUCUGUAACUGACGCUGAGGCUCGAAAGCGUGGGGAGCAAACAGG
rnacentral:rRNA from 1 species